UACGAAGGGGGCUAGCGUUGUUCGGAAUUACUGGGCGUAAAGCGCACGUAGGCGGAUCGAUCAGUCAGGGGUGAAAUCCCAGGGCUCAACCCUGGAACUGCCUUUGAUACUGUCGAUCUGGAGUAUGGAAGAGGUGAGUGGAAUUCCGAGUGUAGAGGUGAAAUUCGUAGAUAUUCGGAGGAACACCAGUGGCGAAGGCGGCUCACUGGUCCAUUACUGAUGCUGAGGUGCGAAAGCGUGGGGAGCAAACAGG
rnacentral:rRNA from 1 species